rnacentral:misc_RNA from 1 species
AAUCAAUACACUUCAGAUUUUCAUAAAGCUUUUUCAUGCUAAGUACAAUGUUCAAUAUCUCUUCAUUUUGUUUACUGAAUCUCGCAGCAUGGGUCUAUAAGCUGGGCGUUUCAUCGUACAAUUCUUCAGAUGAGCUACAAACAUCUACACCUACAGCCUACCAUGACGAUUGCCCAAACAUCUCUUUAUAUAACUUCUCAAACUAAAUGCUCAUUCAUUGCCAUACCAACAAACAGUAAUGUAGAUUUUUGAGCUACUUCAAGCAACACACAUAAGAUGUCUGCUAAUCAUACCUUUGACGUCUGAGAUCCAGGGGGCAAGAAUGAGUCCCACCACCCGGAUUCAUACUUUGGGUAUGGUGCUGUCCAUUUUUCCGGUUUUUCAAAUUCAAUACUAACAGGAGUACAUGCCAAAGCUUCUUCUACACUGUCAGCCUCAUAGCUCUCUUGUAAAACCCUGUCUAGCCUCAAUUUCAUGAACGUGAUCCAUGGGCCAUUUGUUGAAACAAGUGCUACAGCGGGUCUGUUCAGUCUCUUGGUGAUAUUAGGGAACUUGUCCAAGAACUUGGGCUCAACUACAAGCCAGAAAUCUGGUUCCAUGUUGCGCUCUUCAUAGAGGCGACGACGCUCAAACAUUUGUUCCUGGAAAUGCUCCUCUUCGUCCAGCAUAAAUUUGGCAUUUGCAACAAGAAAAUGGUACUUCUUCCUUUCCGUCUCUUGCUUUUCAGCAGGAUCAGAGGAAUCAACAGCAGCAACAGCCCUCUUAGUGGUUCUAUUUAAUUUCCAGCUGCAGUUCUUGAAAAGAGUGUUGUUGUGUGACUGGGAAGAUUGGGUACCAUGUAAAAGGAGUGAAGGUUUAUGAGUAAAAUGGGUAUGAGAAUUCACUACAGAUGUGCAAAAUGAAGCAAGAUUCAGAGCUGUUGAAGCUGACAUUGUUGGCAAAAAUUGUGUGUAUGAUUUUCUCUAUGUUUACAAUGGCAAGA